UUGGCACAUUAGCGCAACUGGCUCGUCAGCGAUGGUGCUGCAUACCAUGCGCGUCUCUUAUUGAUUGAAAACACUUAUAGUAAUGCUGCGCACUUAUAAUAUACAAAUUAUUUGUCAACUUAUCGAGUAGUUUAAUUGCUUAACUGGAUUGUGCACGGCUUAUAUAUAAUUGUGAAACUUGACAUGCGCCCAAUGGUUGGAGUACUGUACGGAUGGAUGGAUGGUACUGUACUAUAUGGAUACUACUGUACACUGUACAGUUAUAUUGGUUUACUUUCACUGCUUGAUUCAACAAGUUGUUUACAUUCUUUUACAAUAUGGAGGAGCAUUUUAACGCAUCUGGCUCGUCAAAGCCUUUCAACGCAUAUCUACUGCGUGCAUGCUUAUGCGUGCGUGCAGAUCAACUGGAAAAAGUCCGCCAGGGUCGCUGCAAAAUUUUUUCCACUGGAGCCAAAGCCACAUUUCUGUUAACGAUUCUCCGCUAAUUGCAGAAUUUAUGAAUUUCUUGUACACGAAUUUCGGGGCUGCUAUAAACAACGAGGGUUUGAGUGGAAAAAGUUGGCCUGAACUUCUCAAAGAAUUUUCCACCUUGUCAACGAAUGGAAAAUCAUCGCCGUACAACCUUGAAGCCGGACUCGCAUGGCCGGAAAUAUUUAAGUUUCCGGUAAUAGUGAUCCAAUAACGCGAGAGCAUCACUGAUGGACUUUGCACCAUUAACUGUGAUCUUGCCGUUGCGGUACACUUGGCAGUGCGAUUUGUAAGGACGAAUGGAACGGAGAAGAAGCCCGGAAAAUUUAUGUGGUGCAUAAUGAGA